GUGAGGGGGAGUGGGGGACGGCAUAAGCAGCAGUGAUCGGGUGUGUUUGGGAAGUUGUUUGGAGGGAGUCUGGGAGGAGAGAGAGGGAGGGCGAAAAGAGGAGGAGGUACACAAACUCCCUGAGAACAGAAGUUAGUAAGUGGGAGAAAGUGAACACGCACCCGCAGGAGGAGCAGUUCGCAGUCGUACAUAAACCAGCCAGCCGAUCUGCCGAGAGGGUCAGAUUACCAGUGCCGGUCUUCUCAUUCUGAACUGGAUCAGGGCUAAUUAGAUGAGGAGGAGGCUGAGACCAGCAGGCAAAAGAAACAUCAGAAGAGAGAAAAAACUAAACAAGUGAGAAGAGGGGGAGGGGGUGAAAACAAGAAGAAGAAGAAGUCUGUGAAACAUCGUGUGGACGGUUUUAUGUAUAGAGCUGAGUUGGGUUCUCCAUGAACGGAGGAGUUGGCAAACAGUGGAAACAGUGACGCUCUUAAAGUGAACCACAUUCACUUCAGAGGUGUGGCUGCGCGAGUUCUGUGAAAGACCCGAGGCCUUUUGUCAUAUCUCCGGGGAUUCAGCAUGGAGGUGAAAGAAGAGGUGUUGAAUAUUCUUCAGAAGGUGUGGAUCAAACUGCAGGGUCUCCCACAGGCCCAUUCCCUGGACCUGGGGGGCUUCAUGGUGAUCAUCCUGUUUGUUGCCACGUUCCUUCUCUUGAUCGUGUUGUCCUGCGUGUUGUCCUGCUACUGUGGUAAGCCAAAAUACCAGGCCUCCAGAGUACAGUCCAUCUGAGGAUGAGACAGAGAGCAGACUCCCUGAAACUCCUUCACGGGGUCGUUGUAGUUUCUUGGACAUGAUGUUUCCAGCAACCCGAGAUGAAGACUUGGAUCCUCAUCUGGAGAGCCAUGCCACUAGGAAUCCUCAUAAAUCAGCAGAGUGGCUUUAUUCAUCAACGUUCAUCUCAGACCAGGACAAUAAAAUACAACAAUAACAACAGUUGGGUCUGAAUGUCGCUGUGAUAUUCAAAGGGAAUGUGAAAGACAACAUGGAAAAUGUGAAAGACAUUCCAAUUCAUGUAUAUAUAGACACUUGCCAGUCUAAAAAAGACAGAGCGCCCUCUGCUGGCCAAAAGAAGAGCGUCUCUUUCUUUUUGGGGGGGAUAUAUGGGCCUUAUUCAUUGUUUCACAAACAACCUUUACAGAUGUAUUCUUGUUUUAUUACAUAGUUGUUGAUUUGUCUUUGCUUUUUUGUUACUGAGGCAUUGCAUUAUUGCAUUUGUGGAUGUAUUUGAAAUGUUCAACAUAUAUAAAAAAAACUAAUGUAA